UACGGAGGGUGCAAGCGUUAAUCGGAUUUACUGGGCGUAAAGCGUGCGUAGGCGGCUAGAUCAGUCGGAUGUGAAAUCCCCGGGCUUAACCUGGGAACUGCAUUCGAUACUGUCUGGCUAGAGUAUGGUAGAGGAAAGUGGAAUUUCAGGUGUAGCGGUGAAAUGCGUAGAUAUCUGAAAGAACAUCGAUGGCGAAGGCAACUUUCUGGGCCAAUACUGACGCUGAGGUACGAAAGCGUGGGGAGCAAACAGG
rnacentral:rRNA from 1 species